GGAGUUAGCCGGUGCUUCUUCUGUGAGUGAUGUCCUUCCUGCCGGUUAUUGACCCGCAGGCCUUCUUCCUCACUGAAAGUGCUUUACAACCCGAAGGCCUUCUUCACACACGCGGCAUGGCUGGAUCAGGGUUGCCCCCAUUGUCCAAUAUUCCCCACUGCUGCCUCCCGUAGGAGUCUGGGCCGUGUCUCAGUCCCAGUGUGGCUGAUCAUCCUCUCAGACCAGCUACGGAUCGUCGCCUUGGUGAGCCGUUACCUCACCAACCAGCUAAUCCGACAUAGGCUCAUCCGAUAGCGCGAGGCCCGAAGGUCCCCCGCUUUCCCCCGUAGGGCGUACUGCGGUAUUAGCCUGGGUUUCCCCAGGUUAUCCCCCACUACCGGGCAGAUUCCUAUGCAUUACUCACCCGUCCGCCGCUCGCCACCAGGGAGCAAGCUCCCCGUGCUGCCGCUCGACUUGCAUGUGUUAGGCCUGCCGCCAGCGUUCAAUCUGAGCCAGGAUCAAACUCUGA
rnacentral:rRNA from 1 species